rnacentral:rRNA from 1 species
CAGCAGCCGCGGGAACACGAAGGGUGCAAGCGUUAAUCGGAAUUACUGGGCGUAAAGCGUGCGUAGGCGGUGAGUUAAGUCUGCUGUGAAAUCCCCGGGCUCAACCUGGGAAAGGCAGUGGAUACUGGCUCGCUAGAGUGUGUCAGAGGAUGGUGGAAUUCCCGGUGUAGCGGUGAAAUGCGUAGAGAUCGGGAGGAACAUCAGUGGCGAAGGCGGCCAUCUGGGACAACACUGACGCUGAGGCACGAAAGCGUGGGGAGCAAACAGGAUUAGAUACCCCCGUAGUCCCUGUCUCUUAUAC